rnacentral:piRNA from 1 species
UGAAGUUAAACUCCCUUUAUUCACAGUGCUG